rnacentral:misc_RNA from 1 species
UACGGUGCAUCCAACCUAGUAACUGCAGUAAGAAGCCAUUUGGUGGUUAGCUCAUGAAGCAUUGAGGAAGAUAAUUUUCUUUUCCAAGCAUAAAGAGUACUGUUUUCUAUUGGGUCCAUAAGAAGCAUAGACAUAACCUUCAUUUUCUUUUUUUCUCUUCAGAAAACCUGAGCUUUGUUCACUUUGGCUAUGAUGAGAGGAUAGGAGAUAAGCUACUUUUCAUAAUUAAAAGUAGAACUGUUUAUGAAUGAGAUAUCAAUUGCUCCCUGGAAACCUCUAAUGCCUAAGAUGAAGGUGGCUGGAGUGAAACACGGAGAUAGUUACAAGCUUUUGGUUGGCUAUUCAUUUCAAGAUCAAAUCAUGUGGGCAAAUUGAUAGUGGGUCCUGGGCCCUUCCAACAGAUGAUUUUGUGUAAGCCACAUACUUGUUUUGUUGCAAGAUUGAUCACUUUUUUUUCUAUUUUCAUCUUUGAUUGCUCUAUAUAAUUGUCCUGCAUUAAGCAUUAGAUGUAACUUGAUGUAGCCAUUGAUUUUUGAUGCUCUAGCAUGCUUCUUAUUUUCUGCAAAACUAAUAAAUCUAUACUUGCAGAUGCAUUUAAGUACAUUGAAUUGACAGAUGGGUUAUGUGCCUUGUUUAAAAAUGCCCUUUCCAAGUUGGCAUGUUUACACACAUGGCCCUUUCCAAGUUGGCAUGUUUACACACAUGCACUUUCUGUUAUCUUUCUAAUAAUAGCUAUUACUUGUGUACUGUUGUUCUGCUGGGUACUUGGUGAGAGAAGACUCAAGACUCCACGUUCAAAAGUGGCGACAGAGAAUAUUUUGUUGGUGUUUAAUGAGCUCAAGGACUAGGCACAAUAAGCUGAAAUGCCCAUUGCUUUUUUGAGGUUGCCACGGGAGAUAAUUAGCUUUCCUUCUGAGUUAGCGAGUCAUGAUCAGAUUCUGUACCAACGUCAGCUCCGAACCAGGACUGUUGGCCUCCAGAUACUGAGUGUGCCCCACAAGCAACUUUACAAAUAGCAGCGGCUGAAAAUUAGCUGAGAAAUGAGAAGAUGGGCUGUUAAUACCACGAAGAAAGAUAAUGUAACAGAGAUACCCAUGAUUGGAACAAAUAUCUAUGCAAGCUGACUAACAAUUUUUGUCAGAUACAGAAUUUACCUCUCUGUUACACUCUUAAUGGUUAAAUAUGUG